rnacentral:rRNA from 1 species
UCGGAUUGUAGUCUGCAACCCGACUACAUGAAGCUGGAAUCGCUAGUAAUCGCAGGUCAGCAUACUGCGGUGAAUACGUUCCCGGGUCUUGUACACACCGCCCGUCACACCAUGGGAGCCGGAAAUGCCCGAAGCCAGUGACCCAACCUUAGGGAGGGAGCUGUCGAAGGUGGAGCCGGUAACUGGGGUGAAGUCGUAACAAGGUAAC